ACGCUCGACAGUGUCAGCAGCCGCGGUAAUACGGGGGGGGCAAGCGUUGUUCGGAAUUACUGGGCGUAAAGGGUUCGUAGGUGGCCAACUAAGUCAGACGUGAAAUCCCUCAGCUUAACUGGGGAACUGCGUCUGAUACUGGUUGGCUUGAGUGCAGGAGAGGAACGCGGAAUUCCAGGUGUAGCGGUGAAAUGCGUAGAUAUCUGGAGGAACACCGGUGGCGAAGGCGGCGUUCUGGACUGCAACUGACACUGAGGAACGAAAGCCAGGGGAGCAAACGGGAUUAGAUACCCCGGUAGUCCUGGCCCUAAACGAUGAAUGCUUGGUGUGGCGGUAUCGAUCCCUGCCGUGCCGAAGUUAACGCGAUAAGCAUUCCGCCUGGGGAGUACGGUCGCAAGGCU
rnacentral:rRNA from 1 species